rnacentral:sRNA from 1 species
ACUCAACACUAACAAAUUCAAAUGAGCAAAUCGUCGCUACUAUAGCAUGCCCGCCUGACGGGAAGCCAGAACAGCGAGCUAGCUCAAAACUUGUCUUUACGAGUUU